ensembl:lncRNA
UUCUGUCGACAUCACAUGCAGUCUCUAGUUCUCCCAGUCCCAGUAUGCCUUCUUCACAGACUGAUGGGCCUGUACCAACUCCUGCUGCACAAUCAGCACCUACAGCUCCGGCAUCUAUGCCAUCUGCACAGACAGAAGCACCUGUUCCUAGCUACUUGCAAGAUAUCAGCCGCUGGAACUGCUCUCUUCAUCAAAGAAUUUGGAUGAAGACAGAGAUGGAGUCCUUAGGGCUCUGGCCAGGAUCACGCCCAGUAAGACACCUCAUGAAUAUGGUCUCCUUGUGGCGCUAUCCACCUCAGCCUGAGCUUAUAGAGACAAACACAGGCCUUCCGUCACCCAAAUACUUCCAACUCCAUCCCUUUUUCAUUUGGAAACCUGAGCACAGUAUAAUGGAAAGGCUUAGGAACAAUUACAUCCUGCCUUGUCUUAACAGCUGUAAAAAUCCAAAUGUUGUGUCCUCUGGUGUGGGAAGACCCAGAGUGAUCCUUGGUACUACUGGGCAAUUUUACAUCCUUGCUUCACGUCUGUGUUGUAAGGCAUGCAAAAGAUACUGGUUUGCUGAUAAACCUCAGUGGCUGGACAUGCUACCACAGCAAUUCAAAAACAUCUUGCCAGCCUUCCUCACCCAUAAGAAGGCAAUCUGUAAAACGGUGAUGGAUGAACUGAGGCGCUCUGGAAAAUCCCCUAAUGACAUGGCCAACCAGCUAUCUGAGGUGCUUCACCUUAAAUUUGAAAGAGCACAUCUGGCUUACCUUCUCAGUGUGCAGAAUGUCAGGGAUGCUGAAGCAGGGCUGUAUGGUCAGAAAACCAUCACUGGGGCACUGAGGAAGGAUAACACACCUGCACCGUUUGGGGAUUAUGGAGACACUGAUGGGUGGCAUGGGGUGUCUGUCUCUGCACACUAUUUAGUAGAGUGCCUCCUUCAUGAAUAUCAGCGGCAGGAAGCAGCUCUCACUCAGCUCCUACAAGGCACUUUUGGACAGGUGUUCAGGUCAGAUCACACACGCAAAGUUGCUAGAAAAGUGACCCUCUUAUCUGGCACAAUGUCAUCCUAUGCUGUGAUGAACGAGAACUGGAUGAUUCUGUCCUGGGUGAUGCUGCAGAGUGAAAGUGAGCAGUCCCUGGAGUCAAUGUACUGUGGGCUAUCCAAUCGCUACAGUGCUGCUGGUAUUCCCAAGGCCAAGUACCAGUGGGUGGACAGGGACUGCUGUGCCGCUUUCAGAGUGAUGGACCCAGGACCUUAUGAGCACCAGCAGUGGGAAGCCUGGAGGACCACGGAAGCUAUUGUGGCAGAGGUUACAUCAGGAAACCUCAAGAAUUUACAUGCCGCUUGCAGGAAGUUCAACGAGGACAUGGUUGUUAAACUGGACUUGUUUCACUGUAUGCGGCGGUUCACCAGGGAGUGUGUUUCGGAGCACCAUCCUCUGUAUAGCUCCUUCUGCCAGUUCCUCUCUUCUGCCUUCUCUGUAGUUGAUCAGAGUGACCUGGAGAAACUGAAGAACGCAUACAGAUUCUGUGGUAUCGAGCCUGCUAAUCCCACCAAGCUGCACAUCAGAGAGCACUGCAGGACAAAAGUGCCACAUCCCAGAGAGCUGGUCCAAAGGGUGGAAGAAGUGUUUCACCAUUUCUAUCUGGCAAAGGAUCCCAACAACAUCUUCCUUUUCAAACCCUCAAUGUUAAAAGUGUGGUGGAUUCAGCGUAUCCACAUCCUUAGAGGCUGCCUGAGUGAUCCUGAGGUGGAGGAAGGAAUCCUCUACAGACACGGUGGAACCCUACAGCUGAAUCAUGUCAAGGGUGAUGGAGCUGCUGUGCCCAUUUGGAUCCCUGUCAGAGGCACUUCACAGCAGGAGGGGUUUCAUUUCCACCAGGCCCAGUGGGUAACGGGCAAUCGUGUCUCUCCUGAGUUGUUCCAGGCACAGGGUAUGACUGGUGUGGCACGCUGGAAUUAUCAGCGGCUGGUGGACCUGAAGCAGCCUGGGGUUGUCUUACCUGGAGUGUUUGACCCUGUUUUGAUGAUGGAGUUAAACAGGACAUCUAUAAGAGUGACAGGGCAACCCAAAUAUCCAGCCUUGCACAUCUCCAGCAGGGACACAGGAGAGAGGUUUGGCCUGCAAUAUGUGGAGCCAGGCUGUCGACCUGUGCCUCUUGACUUUGACAAACACAAAAGCAGGAAGACAGACCUAGGAGAUGUGGAGAUGCAAGAAGAGUCUUCAUCUGGUGUUCCGUUCUCAUUCCCAUCUCAGGAAUGCUUAAAGGAUACCUCUUCUGCGGAGACCCCUCUUGCUGCAGAACCAGAGGCUACCUCACAGGCUGUCAUUUUUCACCAGUUUCCUACACCAAGUGCUGUGACAGUGAAGGAACAAACAUCUGAUGAGUGUCUUUUAGUUGCAGAACUCUCAAGCACAUCACCACUGCCUGUAGCUGCUUCUCCCUGUGCUGCUCGCACUGGACCCAUUAAGACCGGUGGCCGAGUUUUUGUGUUGGACCAUAACAGAUGGACGGAUCCAAUGAGAAAUGCCAUUGAUGGUUUGCUGGCCAAGCAUCACGGGAGCAAGGAUCUCCUUACAAAGGUGGAUGCUGAAUAUGCUGCUAUGGUACAGAGUGCCUGUACUGACCCCAACAGCCUUCUGCAUUCCACCACAAAGCAGCACAUAAGCAGGUACAUAAAACACCUUGCUAAAAAAAAGAACACUAAUGCUUCUCUCAACACCAGCCCAGAAAAGCUCUUGGAGACACAGCAGUUAUGGCAGCGUCUUCACUCAGGCAGUGAAACCAUCAGUGUCCCAGUGACAGUACUGCCACCUGCCCCAGUCAAUCCACCUGCAAAGGCUGUUCCUGAAGCUGUCCCUCUGGACCAGACAGCGUUCGAGAAGAUGGUGAAGGACAUCGUAGAGAAGCAACAGGCAGUUCAGCAGCAACAACAAUUGCAGGCGCCGCAAAAAAAGCAAACCAGAUCCUGUUUAGCCUGUGGCCAGCCUAAGUCUCGAUACAUGGGUGAUGGCUCCUCAAUACAUUUCUUUUAUCAAGGUAGUGAUGUUAAAUACUUCUACUGCUCCAAGAAAGUAUUUGACACAUAUUCAGCAGAGGGCCUGACCAACCCCAGAAUGCCUUUUGAAGACUUUGCAGGGACUCCUUUUUUUCAGCGGGAACUGGAGGCCUCUAAGCAGAGAGGGGCAGAAAGGAAGAGGGUCACUGAGGAGAGAAGCAAGCGGAAGUCAGCAGUGGAGCAUCCUACUGGUCGUCUGUGCAGAUUCUGCCACCUGCCACUGAAACAAGGACCCAACAGUCCUCAUAUUCAUACCGCUUUACCUGGAGUGGCAGGCAAAUACAUUUACUGUCCUGCUAAAGUGUUUUCUCUUUAUCAGGCUCAAGGAAUGAGUGCAGAAAUGUCAUGGAGAGACUUUCAGCAGUCUCCAUUCUAUGAGACUGAGAAGCAGAGGUGGAUGAAGGAAAAGCAAAAAUGACUUCACUGUGCUACAAAACAGUAUUUGAGGUCUGGGCAUGUCAUUUGCCAAAGACAUUCCUUGCACAAGGUUAUGUAUAUGUGUAUAUAUAUUUUGUUGCAUUUUUUAAUUUUUAAAUUAAAUUUUGUUUUUUUUUUAAUUUCAUUUAUUUACAUUUGUUCAUUAAAAUACCAAAAGGAUUAUAUUUUAUUGUAUUGCAUUGUAUUUUAGUGGGGUUUUAUUUUGUUGACUUGCAUUGUUUAUCGUGCUCAGUUUUGUAAACACUAUAUGUUAAUAACUGUUAUUACUAAACUCUCUACAUAAGUAUUU